AUAUCUUGCCACAAGACAUGUGCGCUAAGCUAGCCAAAUUAGUUUCUGUUAGCGAAUCAAGUUCAAGCUCCUCACAUAUCAUCAUCCAGGGUACAGUCAUAUGCUCAUGAGGAGAUCCCACGCAGGUGAAGGUGCUGCCCACCCAUGAUACCAGCAAGGUGCGUGCAAGUGGAUCCGGCCUUAACACCACUGGAGCGCCCACCUCUCUGCCAGUGAAGGUCACCAUUGAUGCCAAAGAUGCAGGACCCAGAGGGGAAGCCCAAGAAGCAGAUAUCUGUGACAGCCAUGAUGGGACCUACCUGGUGUUUUAUGUGCCAGACAUGACUGACAGAUACACCACUCUCAUUAAGUACGGAGGAGACAAGAUCCCUUAUUCACCCUACUGAAUCAGGGCUCUGCCCACCGGAGAUGCCAGCAAGUGCACUGUCACUGAAUGUUGUCCAGUGGCCAGCUGCUCGGUCCAUCCAGACUCCCCUCGAUAUACAACAGUGAUGCCAGCAACUCAAAUACAAGCUCUCUCCAAGUGAUUCCUUCAUCAUCAACAUCUGCAUCCAUGAUCCAUUAGCUCAACAGCAACAUCUGUCAACUGUGCAUCCAACUCGGGGGAAUCGCCUGCUGUGCUCAGCCAGUGGGCCGCAAUUUCCGUGCCUUGUUGAUGGCCUCGCUGUAUCCUGUGCUGGAGAUAGCUGGUGAGGAGACACUGCUGGUGAGCCAGGCGGCGCUGAGCUCCAUGUAGGACAUCAGUAAGGCCUGUGGAUACACUUCCCUCAAGGAACUGAUCAAUGAGAACUCUGACUACCUGCUUAAUGACAUAUCACUCAACCUUCAGAGGCUCAGCCAGCAUCCACAGGUAGUUAUGAGGUGUUUUUGUUUUUAGCCCAAAAUGGACACAGAAAUGAGUGCUGGAGGGUUUACCCGAUUUCCUUCUUUGUCUGCUUAAGCCUGUGCGUCCCUUUCAGUAAGUGAUUUGAAUCCACCUGACAUUCAGAAGGUCGUGGUAGAGCAUAUCGUACGAAGGCAAGAUGUCAAACACAUCCAGUCCCAGGUUAGACUCCGUACCUUCUCCGGUAAGGUUCCCAGACCUAACAACAAAACUGAUUAUGACACGUGGCGCACACAAAUUAACCUGCUCCAAA